rnacentral:rRNA from 1 species
UGUGGCGCAGGCCUGCAUGCAGCGACGCCGCGUGAGGGAUGAAGGCCUUCGGGUUGUAAACCUCUUUCCGCAGGGAAGAAGCGCAAGUGACGGUACCUGCAGAAGAAGCGCCGGCUAACUACGUGCCAGCAGCCGCGGUAAUACGUAGGGCGCAAGCGUUGUCCGGAAUUAUUGGGCGUAAAGAGCUCGUAGGCGGUUUGUCGCGUCUGCUGUGAAAACUCGAGGCUCAACCUCGGGCUUGCAGUGGGUACGGGCAGACUAGAGUGCGGUAGGGGAGACUGGAAUUCCUGGUGUAGCGGUGGAAUGCGCAGAUAUCAGGAGGAACACCGAUGGCGAAGGCAGGUCUCUGGGCCGCAACUGACGCUGAGGAGCGAAAGCAUGGGGAGCGAACAGGAUUAGAUACCCUGGUAGUCCAUGCCGUAAACGUUGGGCACUAGGUGUGGGGCUCAUUCCACGAGUUCCGUGCCGCAGCAAACGCAUUAAGUGCCCCGCCUGGGGAGUACGGCCGCAAGGCUAAAACUCAAAGAAAUUGACGGGGGCCCGCACAAGCGGCGGAGCAUGCGGAUUAAUUCGAUGCAACGCGAAGAACCUUACCAAGGCUUGACAUACACCGGAAACUUCCAGAGAUGGUUGCCCCGCAAGGUCGGUGUACAGGUGGUGCAUGGUUGUCGUCAGCUCGUGUCGUGAGAUGUUGGGUUAAGUCCCGCAACGAGCGCAACCCUCGUCCUAUGUUGCCAGCGGGUCAUGCCGGGGACUCAUAGGAGACUGCCGGGGGUCAACUCGGAGGAAGGUGGGGAUGACGUCAAAUCAUCAUGCCCCUUAUGUCUUGGGCUUCACGCAUGCUACAAUGGCCGGUACAAAGGGCUGCGAUACCGCGAGGUGGAGCGAAUCCAAAAAGCCGGUCUCAUUCGGAUUGGGGUCUGCACUCGACCCAUGAAGUCGGAGUCGCUUGUAAUCCCCAGAUCACCACGCUGUAGUGAAUACUUUCCUGGGCCUUGUUACCCACGUCCGUCAGCCACGAAGGUCGGUAAACUCCUGAAGCCCGGUGGUCCACUUCGUAAAAGGGGAAGCCGUCCAAAGGUGGACUGGGCGAUGGGAUUUAGUCCUAACAAAGGUAUACAUUCGU